UGGAGUGGACAGACGAACCCAUGAGCUUGAUGAAGUACGGUGUUGGAGACACGAUUGUGCGACCGAUCGCUUCCGCGAAGCACCCACUUGCACUAUCGCUAUCAUUCAUCGUCUUCCAUUUCUAUUUCGGUGGAAGGGCAGGUGUGAUGAAUCCACAUCCAUCGUUGAGGAUUAUUCGUGAUGUGAAGCAUACUCCAUACAAGGCUGCAGGUAUCCCGGUUGUCUUCCUGAGCUCCCCAACUAUUUGAAGAUGCGGGUCAUACAUCUCCUGUCUACUGUGCACACCCCUUUGCUACGUUUGAAGUACAUAACAAUGCAGAAACAAGCCUGUGAGAGUCUCGGUACGACGAAGAAAUUGCACAGGCUGCAGGUAUCCUGGUUGUCUUCCUGAGCUCCCCUACUAUUUGAAGAUGCGGGUCAAUGAUCGUGGUAUACACCUUCGUAUACACAUUUCCUGCGCUUUAUCUGCUGAGCUGUUGCAUACCCACUCUUUCAGCGCACUACGCUCUCGCUUGCUUUCGUUAUAAAAGGCCAGGUUCGCUCCUUGUACAUUGUUCUGACGAUGGGUGACUGGUCCGAAACGUCAAUAAUUUUUCGACAUCAUGAAUAAAAGAAUGUUCAUCUAAAGAGUGAAUAGCAACUGAAUAGAGCGGUUGUCAGUUGACAAACCCCCUUUUA